UCAUUGCUGGAACAAACGCCCUCACGGGUGCUACCCAGAAACCCUUUGUGAAUUAUACCUUACCUGUUGCCUCGGCAUUGGUUGGCCUCUUCCUGAGGGGACCCCUUUUCUAUAAAGGAGCAGACCGGCCGGUGGCCCUAUAAACUCUUGUUUUUGUACUAUCAUCUGAGUAAACAACUAUAAAUGAAUCAAAACUUUCAACAACGGAUCUCUUGGUUCUGGCAUCGAUGAAGAACGCAGCGAAAUGCGAUAAGUAAUGUGAAUUGCAGAAUUCAGUGAAUCAUCGAAUCUUUGAACGCACAUUGCGCCCGGUGGUAUUCCACCGGGCAUGCCUGUUCGAGCGUCAUUUCAACCCUCAAAGCCUGGCUUUGGUGUUGGAGGAAUACUCUUUUACUUGAGUACCCUCUGAAAUUUAGUGGCGGGCUCGCUAGAAUUUUGAGCGUAGUAAUUUUACCUCGUUUGUAAAGACUAGUGGGACUUCUUGCCGUAAAACCCCCCCCCAUUUUCUGA
rnacentral:rRNA from 1 species